rnacentral:tRNA from 1 species
GCCGAAGUGGUGGAAUUGGUAGACACGCUAGACUUAGGAUCUAGUGCCGCGAGGCGUGAAGGUUCAAGCCCUUUCUUCGGUA